rnacentral:rRNA from 1 species
GACGAACGCUGGCGGUGUGCGUAACACAUGCAAGUGGUGCGACGAACCAGAGCUUGCUCUGGGGGCAAAGCCGCGAACGGGUGAGUAACACGUGGGUAAUCUACCCCGAUGACCGGGACAACCCGAGGAAACUCGGGCUAAUACCGGAUGUGGUACGGAGACAUAAGUCUCUUUACUAAAGGUAGCUUCGGCUUCCGCAUUGGGGAGGGGCCCGCAGCCCAUUAGCUAGUUGGUGGGGUCAAGGCCUACCAAGGCAACGAUGGGUAGCUGGUCUGAGAGGACGAUCAGCCACACUGGGACUGAGACACGGCCCAGACUCCUACGGGAGGCAGCAGUGGGGAAUCUUGCGCAAUGCGCGAAAGCGUGACGCAGCAACACCGCGUGAGGGAAGACGGCCUUAGGGUUGUAAACCUCUUUCAGAUGGGACGAAGGUGAUGCGGUGAAUAGCCGAUGUCAUUGACGGUACCGUCAGAAGAAGCUCCGGCUAACUACGUGCCAGCAGCCGCGGUAAUC